rnacentral:rRNA from 1 species
GACGAACGCUGGCGGCGUGGAUUAGGCAUGCAAGUCGAACGGUAUCAUCCUUUCGGGGGUGAGAGAGUGGCGAACUGGUGAGUAACACGUAGGUUAUCUACCCUCAAGACGGGGACAACCCAGGGAAACUUGGGCUAAUACCGGAUGUGAGCAACUUUUUAGUUGUUUGAAAGGUGGCGUAAGCUGUCGCUUGGGGAUGAGCCUGCGUCCUAUUAGUUAGUUGGUGAGGUAACGGCUCACCUAGGCAAUGAUAGGUAGGCGGCCUUAACGGGUGGUCGCCCACACUGGGAUUGAGAUACGGCCCAGACUCCUACGGGAGGCAGCAGUCGAGAAUAGUCUACAAUGGUCGGAAGACUGAUAGUGCGACGCCGCGUGAACGAUGAAUCCCUUCGGGGUGUAAAGUUCUUUUAUAUGUGAGCAGUGCUUCUUAUAUUAACAGUAUGGGGAAGAGAUAUUAGCAUAUGAAUAAGCAACGGCUAACUCCGUGCCAGCAGCCGCGGUAAACAUAC